rnacentral:tRNA from 1 species
AAGGGAGACCUAAUUCGGGUAUAAGACGAAAAAAGAGUAGUCGAAACCAAGAAUCAAUCCCAAAAGGUCGGAACGAGGUAUGUGGCUUUCAAACUAGGUUCUGGGUUCACACAAGACCUGAAUCAGGAACAGGGGCUAUUAGCUCAGGUGGUUAGAGCGCACCCCUGAUAAGGGUGAGGUCCCUGGUUCGAGUCCAGGAUGACCCACCUGCACAGGUGGCAAAAACAAAGAAGCGAGGAAUCAGCACCUUAUCUUAUCUAUAUAUAAGAGAGAAUGCUGGCUCUGAGUAAAGAGUCCAGAGGAACCUUGAAAACUGCAUAGAGCUAGGUGAAAAAGCCAAAAAAGAAGACCGCAA